rnacentral:rRNA from 1 species
CGUACACUCCUACGGGAGGCAGCAGUGAGGAAUAUUAGACAAUGGGUGGAAGCCUGAUCCAGCCAUCCCGCGUGCAGGAAGACGGCCCUAUGGGUUGUAAACUGCUUUUAUCUGGGGAUAAACCUACUUACGUGUAAGUAGCUGAAGGUACCAGAAGAAUAAGCACCGGCUAACUCCGUGCCAGCAGCCGCGGUAAUACGGAGGGUGCAAGCGUUAUCCGGAUUUAUUGGGUUUAAAGGGUCCGUAGGCGGACUGAUAAGUCAGUGGUGAAAUCCGACAGCUUAACUGUCGAACUGCCAUUGAUACUGUUAGUCUUGAGUAAGGUUGAAGUGGCUGGAAUAAGUAGUGUAGCGGUGAAAUGCAUAGAUAUUACUUAGAACACCAAUUGCGAAGGCAGGUCACUAAGUCUUAACUGACGCUGAUGGACGAAAGCGUGGGGAGCGAACAGGAUUAGAAACCCUAGUAGUCCC